CGCGGAGCGCACGCACUGGCGCCCUCCGGUACUUCUUCGCCUCCUCCUCCCACAAGUCUCAAGUUCCGAGCGAGCCGUGGCGGGCCGCCGCCUCGGAGCCCCAGGCCGGCCGGGUUUCGCCCCCUGUCCCCCCCGAUCCCCGCAGCACCUUCCCCCCAGGACGCGCUUCUCCGGGGGCGCUGCGGGGCUGCGGGGCUGCGGGCCGGGCCGGGGGGCGCGCUCCUGCGCCCGGGAUGAAAGCGGGGCUCCGCUCCCCGCCGCUGCUCCGCCGCCACUGUGGCCGCCGCUUCAUUGCACAUUCAAGUGGAAAAUUUUCAGGAGUCAGCAGAAAACAUUGUGUCCAAAAAAAAAAAAAAAAAAAAAAAAAAACUUGAGUCGUACUUACCACUAAAUCCUGGAGGAGACUCUCCCCUGGAAAACUUCCCCUUCGACUGAAGAAUCCUGACCAGGGCCAAGUGCUGGGAUCUUUCAGAAGUGCUGCAGGACAGGCAACUAGGGCCCCACUCUGUGGAUAAACCCAGGCUUUACAGCUUGUCCUGUAGGGUUCAGUGACUGGAACUUCAAAGUGCUAAUGUCCUACUCUGAACUCUGCACGAAAAGUAAAUUGUAAACUUACUCCCCUUUGACAAACCCAGGCUCUGCUGCCUGGCUACUUAGGGCCUGAGCAGGGUGGGAGUAAUCUUGCAGAUUGCUGUGGGUUGCUUUGAAAAAUGUUAUCUGUGAAAGCCACAGAUUCUCCUGUGGUAUUUAAAUUAGAUCCCAAAUCUGGUUUAAACAAUCCAGCGCUAUCUUUUAUUCUUUCAUAUUCACAAAGGUGAUAAAAAUCAGGUAAUUCAAGGCUGUCCUAAGUCCUCUCCAUUUCAGGGUUGGGCUUUUUGACAAAUAUCUAGUUUAGACACUAUUGUUUCACAGUUUACUUUAUACUUCCUGAAAUCGGGGGAUUUCAAGGUCUUUCUUUUUUUUUUUCUGGGAUAGUUUUUGAAAAUGCUAGACUAUUUGCAUCUAAAUAUCUGAGGUUGUGUGUGUGUUUAUAUUAAAACUGAAUUAUUGAGAA